GAUGAACGCUGGCGGCGUGCUUAAUACAUGCAAGUCGAACGGUGGAGCAGAGCUUGUUCUGUGGUUCUGUGGCCAACGGGUGGGUAACACAUGCGCAACUAGCCCAUGUCUAUGGGUUAAGCGCUGGAAACGGAGCCUAACUAAGGCCAUGAGCUGCGUUCGACUGGAUAGUUGAUGGAAAGAUUGUUCGGUUUGAGUUGGGCUUACGGCCUAUCACCUUGUUGGUGAGGGAAUGGAACACCAAGGCGUCGACGGGUAGCCGGCCUGAGAGGGUGACCGGCCACACGGGUCCUGAGACACGGCGCAGACGCCUACGGGAGGCAGCAGUGGGGAAUAUUGCGCAACGGGCGAAAGCCAGAUGCAGCGGCGCCGCGUUAGUGAAGACCGCCUUCGAGUUGUAAACCUAUUUGAACAGGGAUGAAGCGAUAGUGACGGUACCUGCAGAGAAAGCGCCGGCUAACUACGUG
rnacentral:rRNA from 1 species